UACGGGGGGGGCAAGCGUUGUUCGGAAUUACUGGGCGUAAAGGGCUCGUAGGCGGCCAACUAAGUCAGACGUGAAAUCCCUCGGCUUAACCGGGGAACUGCGUCUGAUACUGGUUGGCUUGAAUCCGGGAGAGGGAUGUGGAAUUCCAGGUGUAGCGGUGAAAUGCGUAGAUAUCGGGAGGAACACCUGUGGCGAAGGCGGCCCCCUGGUUGGAUACUGACGCUGAGACGCGAAAGCCAGGGGAGCAAACGGG
rnacentral:rRNA from 1 species